GUGGAGAUAACUUGUCCCCCCACCAGAUGGGGAAAAUGGGUCAUGUAACUCAAUCAGGCUGAGGGCUGCAGAGAGGAGGGAUAAAGUCUUCUGCAGGAGACCCUAUGAUUCCAGUGGAGAAAAUACUCCAGCAAGGAUUCCCUGAAACGCUGUGCUUCUCACUUUUUCAUUGAACCACGUACUUGAGGGGCCUGCCUGGUUCCUUGACACCUUCACAGCCAGCACAGAUUAUAAUUUGCCCUCCCCAGAGUGCUGCACUUCCUUACACACGCUGGACAGUACCACAUGCACUUCUGAAGGCCUUACUGCAAAGAGGAAGUACCAAAAAUCUCAUGGGAAAGCCUCUCCUCAGGAGAUCUGCAUACCUAAAGGAGCUACUUCAAGCUUUCCUGUGCCAAACCUGUGAGCUUUUUGAGGUUUGCUCAUCACUAAGUCAAUUUGCCAGAGUAAUGAUUGCAAGAUAAGUUUUAAGUUCUUCUAGGUAUUUCUUAGUGCCAAUUUUUUUAGUGUACAAAUUUUAA